CAGGCUGCAACUCGCCUGCAUGAAGUCGGAAUUGCUAGUAAUCGCUGAUCAGCAUGCUGCGGUGAAUACGUUCCCGGGCCUUGUACACACCGCCCGUCACACCAUGGGAGUCGGUAACACCCAAAGUUGGUAGCCUAACCGCAAGGAGGGCGCCGCCUAAGGUGGGAUUGAUGACUGGGGUGAAGUCGUAACAAGGUACC
rnacentral:rRNA from 1 species